UGCAAGUCGAGGGGUAGCAUGAUUGUAGCAAUACAGUUGAUGACGACCGGCAAACGGGUGCGGAACACGUACACAACCUUCCUACAAGUGGGGAAUAGCCCAGAGAAAUUUGGAUUAAUACCCCGUAACAUAGCGAUGUGGCAUCACAUUGCUAUUAUAGCUUCGGCGCUUGUUGAUGGGUGUGCGGCUGAUUAGAUAGUUGGCGGGGUAACGGCCCACCAAGUCUACGAUCAGUAGCUGAUGUGAGAGCAUGAUCAGCCACACGGGCACUGAGACACGGGCCCGACUCCUACGGGAGGCAGCAGUAAGGAAUAUUGGACAAUGGACGCAAGUCUGAUCCAGCCAUGCCGCGUGAAGGAUUAAGGUCCUCUGGAUUGUAAACUUCUUUUAUAAGGGACGAAAAAAGGUCUUUCUAGAUCGUCUGACGGUACCUUAUGAAUAAGCACCGGCUAACUCCGUGCCAGCAGCCGCGGUAAUACGGAGGGUGCAAGCGUUAUCCGGAUUCACUGGGUUUAAAGGGUGCGUAGGCGGGCAGGUAAGUCAGUGGUGAAAUCCUAGAGCUCAACUCUAGAACUGCCAUUGAUACUAUCUGUCUUGAAUAUUGUGGAGGUAAGCGGAAUAUGUCAUGUAGCGGUGAAAUGCUUAGAUAUGACAUAGAACACCUAUUGCGAAGGCAGCUUACUACGCAUAUAUUGACGCUGAGGCACGAAAGCAUGGGGAUCAAACAGGAUUAGAUACCCUGNUAGUCCACGCCCUAAACGAUGGAUACUCGACAUACGCGAUACACUGUGUGUGUCUGAGCGAAAGCAUUAAGUAUCCCACCUGGGGAAGUACGACCGCANGGUUGAAACUCAAAGGAAUUGGCGGGGGUCCGCACAAGCGGUGGANCAUGUGGUUUAAUUCGAUGAUACGCGAGGAACCUUACCUGGGCUAGAAUGCAUUUUGACCGCCAGUGAAAGCUGGUUUU
rnacentral:rRNA from 1 species